rnacentral:lncRNA from 1 species
CAAGUUCAUUCAAAUGAGGAAAUGUCAUUCAUUACAUGAUCAUAAAAGGUUCAUUACAUGGAAAAAAUACAAAGAAAGGUGUGUUGACCAAUUGUUGACUUUGGUCAACAGUUGACUUUUUGGUCAACAAUGGACUUUUUGGUCAACAAUUGACUUUUUGGUCAACUUUGACCAAAGUCAACUCAAACCCUUCUCAUCCUAGAAUCCAAAUCCUAAUUUUACUUCUAAGGUUGAUUUUUCAUUCUUGGCCUUUGAGCUUUCCAUGUGUGCACGAUGAUUCAAAUUCAAGUUUGGUCGCUUGGUAGCAUGCUUUGAUCACCCACCAUUACCAUACGCAUUCAUGGCCUACAAGGGAAACCAAAGCCAUUCAAUAGCUUCAUACAGGGCUUGGCAUCCACAGUUAUCAAGCAAUGUGAAAGAUGGAGAUACUUUGCCACUUUGCUGACCAAGUUGUCGCCGUACCUAGCGAAAACAUUGAACCACAAGUCAAAAUCAUAACAGAACCAUGGUCAAGAUACAAGGAAUUAAUGCGUAGAAUUACAACCAAUCAGUAGGGGUAUCACACUUACCAUAUCCAGCUUGUCAUGAAGUAUUGCAGAAUUUUGCAACACUUUGUUGCAAUUCAUUCUAACAAAUUAGACCUUGAAUGAAUAUGCAUUUCUAUCAUAGAAUACCAACCUGCAAAAGGAGACAAAUGUGAUUCCAAUGGCUACACCAACAAAAUCCAUAACAGUUGGCAAUGCAAGUCAAGAAAUGGAACUAACAUACUGUGCAAGACCAGGCUGCAGUCAGUUGCAGAAUGACAAGAAUUGUUACCUGCUGCAAAUCCUGCAAUGCAUCAGCCAAUGUAAUAAGCCUUGUUGCAGACCAAGAGCAAGUCAUGAACCAAGCCAUAUGCAGCAAUAGACAAAGCUCCUUGUUAAAAACAACAAUGUAUCUCGUUGACACAUAAAUCAAGUCAUAAUAUUCCACAAACCUUGCAGUUCAAUGCUGCAGAAUCCAAGCCAGAACAGGGAUCUCACUUACUAUGCAGAAACAGGUGAAUCCAACAGUUAUCACUUUGUUGAACGAGUUAUCAUCAUACCUAGCAAAACAAUGAACCACAUGUAAAAAUCAGAACGGAAUCAUGGUCGUGACUCAAGGAAGCAACAUGACCUGAUGCAAUGCCAGGCCACUUCCAAACCAAACUUACAAAGAGGCACUUGAAUUUCUCUUGUAAGAAAGAUACGAUUGAUGAAAUUAGUGCAAUGAUGUGGGAACUGAGGGACACAUUUUUAUUACUCCCUGGAAACUCUAAUGCCAAUUGGUCUCCAAAGGUUUCGGAAUCAUCAAAAAAGGGUUCGUUUGAAUUCAGAUACAACAUCAGAUGUUGAAUUGACCAAAAUUUCUAGAAAUAUUAAAGUAAAUCAGAAGCGCAAAGACCAAUGGAGAAAGCUACUUCAUAGUCAACAGGAAAAUAAACGUCAGUUGGAAGAAGAUAUUGAGAAAGAAAUGGCUGAUUUUAAAAAAAAAUGCUUGAUAUAGAGUGGCAAGCUACUUUACCAUUUUAUGGGAAGGAAAAAGAGAAGCUCAGAGAAUUCAAAAGUAAAUACAAUAUAAAGGAGGCAAUAUUGAAAAGGGAACAAGAAGCACGUCUCCAGCCUCUUGAGGCCAAACAGUUAGAAGCAAGGCAGAAAUUUAGUGAGUUGUCAGCACCAGAUGAAUUGUCAAACCUAGUUUCUUUGAAGGAACUUGGGACAUCCCAUAAUGCUCCAAAAAUUCUUCUGUCUAAUGAAGUGUCUGAAACUAGUUGCAAACAGGCCACUGCCAG